AGGCCCUCGGGGUCUGGAGGGGGCUGCGGGGGCUGGAGAACCAGCCACCUGUGUGUGAGGUGGGGGCGACAGGCUCGCCCGUCUGCCUCUGCUGUCUUUGUGUUUUCUUACUCUGGGCCACGGUGGCUCAGGCCAGAUUUCUAUAAAUUCCACGAAGCUGGUAUCCAGUCUGUUCCGGAACGAGGAUCUGUGUAACAUUGUUUUCGGAAGUUUUGACAGAAUGCACAAGGAGCUAGAUUAAAUUAAAACAAAAUUGCAAUCGCCGUCUGAAUGACUGUGACAAUACAAAUAAUUCGCAACCAAAUUAAUGCAAUAUUAGGUCUCAUCAUUACACUAAUAAUCUCACAGCAACAGAAAGACGACAGUUGUCUGGGGAGGAGUGAUUCAUUACUCGGGAGGACAGAGUUCUAGAAAGUCAGAAUUUCCUUCUGCCAUCUGAAAAGAGAGAAGAGCUAAGAAUUCCAAAGCACCUAUUAUGUCAGGAUGCAGGGGUGACAAAGGCACAGUCCUUGCCUUCUGGGAGUGCCUGGCUCACCGGGUGGGGACAGCCUUAAGUGACAAGGGAGAGGGCCAUAGGGAAGACUUCCUGGAGGCGGUGGCAUUGAGCUGAGCUUGGAAAGCUGAGUAGGAUGCGUUAGGUCUUGCCCGCUCCUCGCUUCCCUUUUCUCUGCAGCCAGCUCUGGCUUUCGUCCCCUCUUCACCUUCGAAAUGCUUUUCUCAAGCCGCCUUCACGAUGCCAGGUGCUCGUCUUCCGUGACUUCCGGCAGCACGUGCGGCUGGAAGCCUCCACGGCCUCUGGGCUUCCCGCGAGCAUCGCUGGCGCCCUUCCUCCAUCUCCUCUGCGGGGUCCUGUGCGGGGUCCUGUCCGCUUCCCAGCCUCUGAACACCAGCGGGCCCCAGGGCUCAGCCCUCACCUCCUCUCUUCCCUGUCUCGGGCUCCCUCUGACGACUCGACACUCACAGUCCAGCCCGACCACCCCACUCCGGUAUCUCACUGUCUGCACCUCCCUGGGAUGUGUCUACCAGGGACUGUGUUUGACAGGAGGAGGGGAGGGGGAAGGUGACGUGUUUUAACGGGGACCUGCAAUGCCUUGGCCGGAUGGGGUGCCCACUGCUGGAGUCUCAGGUAUCAUAGCUGGCCUUUUAUUUUAAAUAAACACGGGCACGAAUUAACGAAGGAAUAAGGGAAUGAAAGGAGUGACAAGUGAAUGAAUGAACGAACGCAUUUCUGAAAACGUUGCAUGUUGCCUUGCGUCAGACACCGUGCUGGUAAUUUUCAUAAAUGUCUCCACGUUUAGUCCGAGUCAUUUUCAUAAUGUUAAUCCUUGCCGCAGUCCUUUGAGAUGGGGAUGAUUACAUUGAUUUUGUGGAUAAAAAACUCAAGGCACAGAGGACCCGGGUCAUUUAACUUUUCUGGGCACAGUUUCCCCAUCUGCAAAAUGGCAACAGCAGAUCUCAGCUGAGAGCACGCGGGGGUGACACAUGCGACACUGUCACAUUGUCCUGGCACCGGAAAGGGUCGAUAAAUCUGUGCCUGUCAUCUUUAUGUUCAAGGUCAUGUUCCCCUUGGCUGGUAGAGUUUUCUUAGUGUCCACUCCUGCGUCUAAUUCUCGGGAGCCCCCUCAGGUCCCUUGUGGGGUUCAGGUCACCAGCCCCCAGGCCAGCCUCUGCUGCCGAUACCGAGAUCAGACUCCAGGGCUUCCCGCGAGGACCUCACAGAGAAGCAUGGCUCAGAGCGACGCUUUCCAAAGCAGAAUUUUAAUAGUGCAACCAGAAAACACAGCUCCAGGAGGAACAAGGUUUAGGAAUCAACAGUUCACCGGGCUUCCUUCCUGCAGGACUUCUCAGAGCCUUCACUGGCUGCUAACCAGCAUGGCUGUCUGAGGUGUAGAAUGGGGUGUUUACCGAAUACGCACUCGUGGGCAUGACCUUCGCUGCACGCGUGCCAUGUGGCGGCCUGAACCAGGCACUUUCCCAACCGCGUAAGGAAAAGUACUGGCAACAGCUUCCUCGGCCCAUCAUCCGUUUGAUGCGUGCACCAGUUUAGUGGGGGAAAAUGGUUUUCCUUAGUUGGCUUGAAGCGCCGACUCUUCUGGCCAAGCUACAUCUUAAACCGUCCCGUGGUGGGCACGAGGCGGGAGUGCCCGCAGGAGACUUGCAUUCGCAUCAAGGCCCUGCUUGAACUUGCUGCGUGACCUUGGGCCUGGCGCUUCCCCCCUCCGGCCUCGGCGCUCCAUCCUUAUCCUUACAAUGAUGACUUGAUUGGACUUGCUGCUCUCAACGCGUCCGCUGUCUCAGCACUUCACGGCUGGAGCUCUCUAGGCCAGGGACCGAUGGCCUGCGGUUACGGCCAGCCAGGCCUGACUGGGGCGGGGGUCUCGGGGCAUCAUCCCUCCACGCCCCCUGCAUAGCACAGCCCACGAACAGCCGCCCCCGCAGGUGAGAGAUGGGGUCCUUGCGGGUCGAGCUCUCCUGCCCACAGGGCCCUGGGGUCCAGUGCUCAUCAGCCGAGUAGGUAAUUACGUGUGCGCUUUGUUCCCCGCACAAAGCAGCUCUCAGAGAACUUCUGAGAGGCUCCGCUUCCUGGCUGAUUUGAUUUUUUUUCAGAAGCGGAGUGUGAAAGCCAGGCUGAACCUGCCUAAUUGUGCCUGCGAAGGCUAUUCAGAGAGACCGUUCUUGGAAGGGAAUCAGGACAAUUAGCUCUUGGCUGCGGGGAGAGGGGGAAGCGAGCUAAUCACAGUGAAUGUCAGCCUGUUCCCAGGGGAGCCGAAGGGCACAGACUUGGGAGAAGAAAUAGGGAAAAAAGAAUAUGCCGGGCUGCCUCUGUGGGCUGCGCCAGACCGGGACGGGGAGCUGGGGCAGGCGGGGCUCACCUCCGGCUGCUGGGCGGCCCUCGCUGACCUUGGACGCGUCACUCAGCCCCUGGGGCCUCAGUUUCCCUGAGCUUGCAAAAGGAGCAGAUGGAGCCCAUUCAUCACGGGAAACGACAGGUGGGAGCCCUGGGGUCUGGAGCAGAUGGUGCUGGGAGGGGCCGAAGACAGAGCUCCUGCAGCCCAGUGCAGGCCCCGGCCCCCGGCCACGUCUUGGCCUCUCCUCCUGGACCAAAGGAAAAUUUCUAAUUCCAAUUCAAGCGCCUUAUCGGGCUUCCAAGUCAGAGGUGAAAGGGCAGAUCUCAGCUUUGCCUCUUCUUGAUUCGGUGACAUUAGGGACGUCCCUUGGCCUCUCUGAGUUACAGUGUCCUAAAUAAAUACAUCAUGGUACUGUUAACCUAAAAAUAAAAGGCCAAAGUGAGCG